CCUACGGGAGACUGCAGUGAGGAAUAUUGGUCAAUGGGCGCGAGCCUGAACCAGCCAAGUAGCGUGAAGGAUGACUGCCCUACGGGUUUUAAACUUCUUUUAUAAAGGAAUAAAGUGAGGCACGUGUGCCUUUUUGUAUGUACUUUAUGAAUAAGCAUCGGCUAACUCCGUGCCAGCAGCCGCGGUAAUACGGAGGAUCCGAGCGUUAUCCGGAUUUAUUGGGUUUAAAGGGAGCGUAGAUGGGUUGUUAAGUCAGUUGUGAAAGUUUGCGGCUCAAACGUAAGAUUGCAAUUGAUAAUGGCAGUCUUGAGUACAGUUGAGGUAGGCGGAAUUCGUGGUGUAGCGGUGAAAUGCUUAGAUAUCACGAAGAACUACGAUUGCGAAGGCAGCUUACUAAACUGCCACUGACAUUGAUGCUCGAAAGUGUGGGUAUCAAACAGGAAUAGAUACCCUUGUAGUC
rnacentral:rRNA from 1 species